CCACGUACAUGAAAAGCUCCUACAAGUACCAAUCACAUAACAGCAGCAAAUGUCAAUACAUGCUACUAUACUUUGCCGCCCGGCACCAGUAGCAGCCCUUACAUUGAGAGUGCAGGCUGGAUACCGGCCGCUAAGUAAUAUUGAGAAAGCUAAGGGAACAGAGAGUUAUCUUGUAACAGAUUCUGAUACUUACUUCAUUGCUAGUAAAUAAAUAACAAUUUACUGAUGGAAUGUUGAGCACAUUAUUAUUGAAAAGAAAACUAUGACAGACAUGGAAGCAAUUCAAGCAACUUUCACUACCAGAAAAACGCUAAACAAUGACAGAUGUUUAAUGACGAAUAUCGUUGUAUUAUGAAUGUAUCAUGAAAAUAUGAUAGAUUCGUGACAUAUAUUCAUAUGUCUAGAAUAUAUGACAUAUUCAUGACUUAUAAUUUAGGAUCAGGCUACAGUGCAGCUGUGGCACGGUACCACAGUUGCACCACAGUUUUAUCCUAUAAUUUAACCAUCAUAAAUAAAUGAUAUAUAUAAGUCAUGCUUAAUUUUUGUGAACUUACGAGAUUUUAAACAGUGCCGUUUAAAUUAACGACACCGUUUUGUAAAGCUUAAAACAUAUCAACAAUUGUAUAGAAUAGAACCCUAAAGCCUAAGUCUCACAUUAGCAACCGACGAAGCUGAAAAGGUUCCCUCCCUGCAUAUCAGAACCACAACGAACUACCUCCGGCCCUACGGGCACAAAAAAAAUCUUGUAUUCUUGCUCUUUAACCUCACUAAUUUUUUGUAUUAUUCCAUGUCUUUCACUUUAAUAACCCAAAAGCUUCCUUCCCUCUGUUUCAAUUUGAAAGAAAACCUAGCUUAAACUAAGCGAAAAUUUACAUAUUAAAGCCUAGCUCAAAUUCCCUCCUUCAAUCGAAAUAAAAUGCAGCCACAAAGCCCUAAUUCACCACAACAACUUAUCUCUGCUCGACAUUCAUUUAAACCCUACCUCGCUGUUCAAUGUCAUUCAAUACGAUUGCAGAAGAUGCCGUUUCAACUUGUCAUUUAGUUAACACCAUCCAGUUCUCUGCGGUAAACCUUAACCCUAAUAACUAAUCGACUGUGGUAGCACGUUGCUUGUUAGGAGCGGGUAUACAUUAUUUGAAUAUAUGAAUUGGGUGAUGUUAGUUAUUCACCCCGUGUUUGUCGUGAAUUGAGAUUUGUGUAUGAUGUUUGUAAGAUUGCUAAAAGUUUCAUUUUUUGUAUUGUUCCAGUUGAAUUUCUUGCUUGUGGAAGAUAAAACAAAAGUUCAAUUUCAUGUUGAUAUAAUUUUUCUUUUCCUUCUUUUUUUUUUUUUCCUUCUUUAUAGUCACGCUCUGGCUCUGGUGCUAUGCUUAGUGCAGUUUAUGGUUUCAAGAUUAAGUCAGGCUUAUUUGAUGGCGUCGAUUCCGUCAUUGAGGAUUGUUGAUCAAAUGCGCGUAGUAAGCUCUUCUUAUUUUAUCUCAGUUUCAAUUUUCUUUUCUUAUCUGCCUCUGCCUGAAAAUGGAAGUGUUUUACUAGUAAGCAUAGACUUUGUUUAUUUAGUUGAUAUUUUAAUUUUAUGUAUAAGAAUGGAGGUUUAUUUUGGGGGAAAAAAAGAAAUUGAAAAAAAAAACUCUGUUGAAGCUAAUUAGUACUACAUUUUUUUUGGUGGUGUGACCAGAGGUGGAAACAAGGUAUGAAAAUGUUGGAGGUCAUUGGAUUUCUUGUAGGUCUAUUUACCAGAUUUUAGUACGUUUAAGGUUUUAAUUUUGCUUAGACUUUAAUUUUUUUGAAAGAUUGUAGUAUUGGUCCAUAAAGUAAGAUCAUGCUACUUCAAGUUAUUUUCAAGUGUUGCUAGUUAUAGCCCUACUACAUAUCAAAUUCCAUUUGUUUGGAAAUUUUUUGAUAGAUGUUACAGCAGCAUAUUUUAUGACUCUAUAACUUAGUUAUGUAAGUUCAUUAUGUUUAGGUCAGAGGCACUCAGCUAUGGGCAAUCAAUAUAUAGUUAUAUACACAGACGAGUCGUCUGAGACGACUCCGAUCUUGUUGCUGGUAUGUGGUUCUAUGAAUAUUUAUUCACAAUAUUAAUCUUUGCCUCACUGUUUUUGUUAUAUGAGAUCUAUAAUUGAUCUUAGGAUAUUGCUUUCUAGUUCUCAUGCACUUAGGUUACUCCUUCCCCAUGCAUCUCGUCUUUCGUCUGCUAUUCUUGAGUUGCGUUCCACAAUCUGGGUAUUAUCUCCGCAAGAUUGUGACUCAAUAUAAUACCUCCAAAUUUUCUAUAUACAUAUUGCUAAUGCUGAAUAGUAUACUGUAGCUCCUGUCAUAUUCUACUUUGUCUUUGUAUAUUCUGUUUCAUAUAAAAAUCUUAUUCAACUUUAGUUCAUGAGCAAAUGUCACAUGUAUAAGUCCAAAUGAUGACAAUGGGGGAAAAAGAAAUUGAAACUGAUAUUUUGCUGUUUUUUUUUUUAUUUUCCAAAGUAUUUUAGAUCUUGACUUUUGUUUGGACUUGAUGGUUAUAGAUUGUGUCUAGAUUUGUUAAGUUGUUUCCAACACUUCGUGCCAAAUCAAAGCACAAUCCUCAUGUGUGCGUUCACAAUUAGUAAGAAAAAUGUGUUUGGAUAGACUGUAGUAGACAACUUGGGAGCCAAUUUUAAUUCUUUGUUUGUAGGAUUAUUUGUCUCCAUGUUUGUCAUUGGCUUUCAGCCCAAUAAUAAUUAUCAAAGAGUUGAACUUGAGUUAUUGACUGAAGCAUAUUUGGAAAUUGAUUAAUCUUUUUUUAAUUUAACUAGUUGUAACUUAUGCUCUCUUGUUGUCAUUUAUUUGGCUAUAUUAGGUUGUUUUGAUAGCGAAUUGUGAUAUGUCAAUAUAAUGUGUAAUUGUUUUGGGUUGAGCUUGUAAUUAUGGUGGAUUAGAUUGGUUUGGUUUUGAUGCUCCUCUGAUGGAACACUACUUUUUUAGAAAUUUUGAAUGUAAUAUGAGACUACAUUUAGUUUACUUGAACACUGCAUCUAGUCUAAUUACUAGAAGUGUGAAUCUAAUGGCAUUUGGGUUGGUUUAUUCGAUGUUCUCCAGAAUUUCAGUUGCAUCUGGUUUUGUUGCAUAUAUUUGCUUGCAUUUGAUGGCUGUAGCAGACUGUUUGGUUUUGUGGCAUUCGAUGGCAGUUUGGUCCGUUCUUAGUGUUGAUUUAAGAUUGUUCCUGUUGUGCUGAUAUUAAUUGCAGGUGCUUGAAUCAGCUAGUGUUGCUGGUUUAUUCAUAUGGCGGUGUUACUGGUUGAUUCAAGUGGCUGACUCGAGUUGUUCAUUUAAGAAUUGGAACUGUAAUGUUAGGAAGCAAAUUAAGAAUUAAUGAAGUAUUCAUUUAACUAUAAUUGUUGUAGUUAUUUUAUUUCAUAACUGAAUUAUAAUGUGUGAAACUUGUGAAUGAAUUUGAGAAUUAUUAUAUAUGAAUUAUGUGUGUAUGUGUGUGUAGAUUUUGCUAUUUAUAUAAUAAUUUAAAGAAUAUAUUUCAAUUCCCG
rnacentral:lncRNA from 1 species